rnacentral:rRNA from 1 species
UACAGAGGUCUCAAGCGUUGUUCGGAUUCAUUGGGCGUAAAAGGGUGUGUAGGUGGCGCCGUAAGUCGGGUGUGAAAUUUCCGGAGCUUAACUCCGAAACUGCAUUCGAUACUGCGGUGCUUGAGGACUGGAGAGGAGACUGGAAUUCAUGGUGUAGCAGUGAAAUGCGUAGAGAUCAUGAGGGAAGACCAGUGGCGAAGGCGGGUCUCUGGACAGUUCCUGACACUGAGACACGAAGGCCAGGGGAGCA